rnacentral:lncRNA from 1 species
GAUAAAUGGUACAAAUUACGAUUUAAAGUAAAAUUUUAAUUUUGUUUGUACAAAAUAGUAUAAAAUGCGUACUAAAUAGUACACGCAUUUUCGUUGAAAAUAUUGAUAUGGGCGUUUCCAACUUCACAGACCACGUUAUGAUGAAGUCAUUCCUAUCGAAUCCUCUGUUGGUGCUGGUAACCUGUCGGUAGAAGCUACAUGGAACGCCCAUCACGGAUUCGGCCAGACUCAUGAUGGUUAGAUGAGGCCUGCCGUAUCUGAGUUAGACCAUUUUUGAGAGUUCUGAGGAUUCGACUAGGACUUGAAACUUGAUUCAUUGAAUAACAGACUAAAUCAGCAGAAAACUGCGUGAGCCAUUCGGAUUUAGGACCAGGUAGAAUACAAUUAGGUAACUUUCUACUAGGUAGAACUUUUUAACGAUAAGAGGAUAAGGUUAAAAGUUCCAUUCAAGUUUUAUUUUUAAAUGAGUUUUAGAAUAAGUAGCUUUAAUUAGUUGUAAAUUAACAUAAAGCAGUUUUAAUAUAAUUUAAUAGUGUUUUUAUCUGUAGGCUAGAAAUUAAUAAUAAUCUGGGUAAGUUGUUUUUAAGUUAGCUAAGAUUUGUAUAGUGCCUAAGCUUUUCAAUAACAAGCAAUCUAUAACACUAUUCUACCUAGCUAACAAUUUAUUAUUGCUUCAUGAAUCUUGGCUGCAUUGAAUAAACUACAGGAACCAGUCUUGCAAAUUAAGCCCGAAGUUCUUUCUUUUACUAUCUCCCAUCACAGGUUCCUCUUUCUACUCCUUCCUUUCCUACUCCUGUUUUUCAGGCUAAACACACUAACACAUCCCUUUAUAUACAAUUGAAAGGAAGGCAAUGGUUAAGGUUGGUAUAGAACCUCCCGGAAGAUAAAC